rnacentral:rRNA from 1 species
UAGGGAAUCUUCCACAAUGGACACAAGUCUGAUGGAGCAACGCCGCGUGAGUGAAGAAGGCUUUCGGGUCGUAAAACUCUGUUAUUGAAGAAGAACGUGUGUGACAGUAACUGGUCAUGCAGUGACGGUAUUCAAUCAGAAAGUCACGGCUAACUACGUGCCAGCAGCCGCGGUAAUACGUAGGUGGCAAGCGUUGUCCGGAUUUAUUGGGCGUAAAGCGAGUGCAGGCGGUCUUUUAAGUCUGAUGUGAAAGCCUUCGGCUUAACCGAAGAAGGGCAUCGGAAACUGGGAGACUUGAGUGCAGAAGAGGAGAGUGGAACUCCAUGUGUAGCGGUGAAAUGCGUAGAUAUAUGGAAGAACACCAGUGGCGAAGGCGGCUCUCUGGUCUGUAACUGACGCUGAGGCUCGAAAGCGUGGGUAGCAAACAGGAUUAGAUACCCUGGUAGUCCACGCCGUAAACGACGAAUACUAAGUGUUGGAGGGUUUCCGCCCUUCAGUGCUGCAGCUAACGCAUUAAGUAUUCCGCCUGGGGAGUACGACCGCAAGGUUGAAAC